rnacentral:rRNA from 1 species
AUUGAACGCUGGCGGCAUGCUUUACACAUGCAAGUCGAACGGUAACAGGCCUUCGGGUGCUGACGAGUGGCGAACGGGUGAGUAAUGCAUCGGAACGUGCCCAAUCGUGGGGGAUAACGUAGCGAAAGUUACGCUAAUACCGCAUAAGCCCUGAGGGGGAAAGUGGGGGACCGCAAGGCCUCACGCGAAUGGAGCGGCCGAUGUCAGAUUAGCUAGUUGGUGGGGUAAAGGCCCACCAAGGCGACGAUCUGUAGCGGGUCUGAGAGGAUGAUCCGCCACACUGGGACUGAGACACGGCCCAGACUCCUACGGGAGGCAGCAGUGGGGAAUUUUGGACAAUGGGCGCAAGCCUGAUCCAGCCAUGCCGCGUGCGGGACGAAGGCCUCGGUU